rnacentral:rRNA from 1 species
CCCUUAGAUGUUCUGGGCCGCACGCGCGCUACACUGUUCGACGCAGCGAGUCUUAACCUUGACCGAAAGGUUUGGGUAAUCUUCAGCAAAGUCGAACGUGAUGGGGAUCGAUCAUUGCAAUUAUUGAUCGUGAACGAGGAAUUCCUAGUAAGCGCAAGUCAUCAGCUUGCGCUGAUUACGUCCCUGCCCUUUGUACACACCGCCCGUCGCUACUACCGAUUGAAUGGUUUAGUGAGAUCUCUGGAUUGACGCUGGCUAGGGGGCGACCCUUGGCCAGACUGCUCGAGAAACUGCUCAAACUUGAUCAUUUAGAGGAAGUAAAAGUCGUAACA